rnacentral:tRNA from 1 species
GCUGGCGUAGCUCAGUUGGUAGAGCACUCGAUUCGUAAUCGAGCGGUCCCCGGUUCGAGUCCGGGCGCCAGCACCA